AUUGAACGCUGGCGGCAGGCCUAACACAUGCAAGUCGAGCGGAUGAAGGGAGCUUGCUCCUGGAUUCAGCGGCGGACGGGGGAGUAAUGCCUAGGAAUCUGCCUGGUAGUGGGGGAUAACGUCCGGAAACGGGCGCUAAUACCGCAUACGUCCUGAGGGAGAAAGUGGGGGAUCGUCGGACCUCACGCUAUCAGAGGAGCCUAGGUCGGAUUAGCUAGUUGGUGGGGUAAAGGCCUACCAAGGCGACGAUCCGUAACUGGUCUGAGAGGAUGAUCAGUCACACUGGAACUUGGACACGGUCCAGACUCCUACGGGAGGCAGCAGUGGGGAAUAUUGGACAAUGGGCGAAAGCCUGAUCCAGCCAUGCCGCGUGUGUGAAGAAGGUCUUCGGAUUGUAAAGCACUUUAAGUUGGGAGGAAGGGCAGUAAGUUAAUACCUUGCUGUUUUGACGUUACCAACAGAAUAAGCACCGGCUAACUUCGUG
rnacentral:rRNA from 1 species